rnacentral:lncRNA from 1 species
GGGAUGUUUGCCGGGUCUAACUCGGAGCCCUCUCCUCUUGUUUCAGCAGGAGGCACCUCGGCGCUCUGAAGGAUGCUCCUCCAGAUCCUCUAAGGAGGGGCGUCUCAUUCAGGGAACAUCGGGGCCUCCUCUGUGAACUUGAGAUGCACUGGAUUUGGGACCAGAACAAACUAGAAUCCUGGUCAGAGGAUGCCAGAAUGAGCCUCUAGGUUUCCAGCUCACCUUCCCCACAACGGGAUCACCCGGGACCUCAGCCGCUCCACCUGGUUAUUGUACAGGUCGCAGAAAAGUGGACCCCUCUGGGUGCACACAACUGUAAGGGUGCUUACCUUAGCAAGUGGACCAUGCCCUUUGCAGAGAAGUCUCUCCUUCCUCUGAGCAGAUGCACAGAGCUCCUUGAAUGGAGGACGGGAUGGAUUUUGGCUCCUGCUGGCCCUCUCAGCUGGGCGUCUCUGCACAGGGCAGUUUCCAGCCCCAUGGCGGCAAACCAGGAAUGUGACUCCGGCAUGUGGCUGAGGCGGCUGCAACCUUCCAAUCUCUCAGGGCAGCUGGCUCCCGGCAGAGGCUAGAGCUCCAUGGGUGACGCCAGGCCAAAGUAAACACCACAGAGCAAAUAAGAGACAUCUCCAUGAUUCUUGCAGCAGAGGGAGGAAGGGAAGCUGGAGGAAGAGGCAGAGAAGGGACAGUUGAAGGAGGAGGAGAGCCAGAGACGAAGAGACUUCCACGAAUAAGAGGCUGGCACCUUCAUCAGGGAGAUGGACGUAGGACUUCCGGGAAUAAGCUGGGGCCCCGCAUCAGAAGCGCGGCAAGAAAGAGAGAUGGCCCCAGGGUGUGGAUGCCAACUGUGGACAUCAUGGGACUCUUUAUUUGGAGGCUCCACUCCCUCUUCCAGGCCCCGAGGCCGGAGCAGGGGCCUUCCAGCACUGUCCAGUCUGCUCCCCCCAGCCUGCCUUUGCACAGUAAAAUGGCUAAAUUUCCCCAGAAAGCAACCGACCAGAGAACCAAAGACUGUCUCCUGUUGCCAACCUCUUUCUUGGGUUGCUAGGACCAGCCCCCGGUCCCGGGGUCAAAUAUUCGUGGUGUGAUUUAAUCAGAGGCUUCUGGCGCCUUCCCAAAUCUAACGCGAGCACGUGUGAACUCCGCUGCCCCUUUCUCUCAGCCCUGUGGAGAUCAGGUCAGAGGCCCCGAAUGUUUUCACUGACCCAGAGUGGGGAGCUGGAUCACAGAAACAUUAACACACAGAGACCGGUCC